AGUCUGCGACCCGACUCCACGAAGCUGGAUUCGCUAGUAAUCGCGCAUCAGCCACGGCGCGGUGAAUACGUUCCCGGGCCUUGUACACACCGCCCGUCAAGCCAUGGGAGCCGGGGGUACCUGAAGUGCGUAACCGCGAGGAGCGCCCUAGGGUAAAACUGGUGACUGGGGCUAAGUCGUAACAAGGUAUC
rnacentral:rRNA from 1 species